ensembl:lncRNA
CUCAAGAGGAAUCUGUGUCACUGCAAAAAUGACUUCUCUGACGGACUCCUCAACACAUGCUAUCAGUCUGCAAUAGAGAGGUGGAAAGUGGAGUCAUUUACAGUUAUACUGUAUGAGAGAGAGCAGCUGAGCUCAGACAGACGUCUUGUUCAAAACCUUCAAAAAGAAAAAGAGGAAACGUGGCCACAAAGCCAAUGGUGCAGCAGUGAGAGCUGAAACUAAAAGGAGAGGAUUGGUGCUGCAGGGGACAGCAGAUGAGCUUUACUCAAGCGUCCGACCCUUCGGAGCUCUGAACUUAUUGUCAAAUAAACGGGGUGAGAUUGGGUCAAGCAGACCUACGGCUGAUGCUGCAUAUCACUGAUGCAUGAUGGAGCUCAACACACAUGAACGCUAUUAAACAAGCUGUAGCCAAUGACAUCCAUGAUCAGCUUGACCUCUGACCCCAGGCGACCAACAGCAUGAAUAGAGCUCCAAUAAGCCUGUGUGCACUUGAGGAGAG